rnacentral:rRNA from 1 species
GACGAACGCUGGCGGCGUGCUUAACACAUGCAAGUCGAACGGAGUGGCGAACGGGUGAGUAACACGCGGGUGACCUGCCCUGCACUUCGGGAUAAGCCAGGGAAACUGGGUCUAAUAACGGAUAGUGUGGGAUGGGCCCGCGGCCUAUCAGCAUGUUGGGGGGGUAAUGGCCUACCAAGGCGGCGACGGGUAGCCGGCCUGAGAGGGUGGACGUACACAUGUGGACGGAGACACGGCCCAGACUCGUACUGGGGGCAGCAGUGGGGAAGAUUGCACAAUGGGCGGAGGCCUGAUGCAGCGACGCCGUGUGGGGGAUGAAGGCUUUCGGGUUGUAUACCUCUUUCGAUAUCGACGGGGUAGGUGGAGAAGAAGCGCCGGCUAACUACGUGCCAGCAGCCGCGGUAAUUC